UACGUAGGGGGCAAGCGUUGUCCGGAAUCAUUGGGCGUAAAGAGCGUGUAGGCGGCCCGAUAAGUCCGCCGUGAAAGUCCAGGGCUCAACCCUGGGAUGCCGGUGGAAACUGUCGGGCUAGAGUCCGGAAGAGGCGAGUGGAAUUCCUGGUGUAGCGGUGAAAUGCGCAGAUAUCAGGAAGAACACCAGUGGCGAAGGCGGCUCACUGGCCCGGUACUGACGCUGAGGCGCGAAAGCGUGGGGAGCAAACAGG
rnacentral:rRNA from 1 species